AGUGAACGCUGGCGGUAGGCCUAACACAUGCAAGUCGAACGGCAGCACAGUAAGAUCUUGCUCUUACGGGUGGCGAGUGGCGGACGGGUGAGGAAUACAUCGGAAUCUACUUUUUCGUGGGGGAUAACGUAGGGAAACUUACGCUAAUACCGUAUACGACCUACGGGUGAAAGCAGUGGAUCUUCGGACCUUGCGCGAUUGAAUUAGCCGAUGUCGGAUUAGCUAGUUGGCGGGGUAAAGGCCCACCAAGGCGACGAUCCGUAGCUGGUCUGAGAGGAUGAUCAGCCACACUGGAACUGAGACACGGUCCAGACUCCUACGGGAGGCAGCAGUGGGGAAUCUUCGACAAUGGGCGAAAGCCUGAUCCAGCAAUACCGCGUGAGUGAAGAAGGCCUUCGGGUUGUAAAGCCCUUUUGUUGGGAAAGAAAAGCAGCAGGUUAAUACCCCGCUGUUCUGACGGUACCCAAAGAAUAAGCACCGGCUAACUUCGUG
rnacentral:rRNA from 1 species